GACGAACGCUGGCGGCGUGCUUAACACAUGCAAGUCGAACGGAAAGGCCCUGCUUUUGUGGGGUGCUCGAGUGGCGAACGGGUGAGUAACACGUGAGUAACCUGCCCUUGACUUUGGGAUAACUUCAGGAAACUGGGGCUAAUACCGGAUAGGAGCUCCUGCUGCAUGGUGGGGGUUGGAAAGAUUCGGCGGUUGGGGAUGGACUCGCGGCUUAUCAGCUUGUUGGUGGGGUAGUGGCUUACCAAGGCUUUGACGGGUAGCCGGCCUGAGAGGGUGACCGGCCACAUUGGGACUGAGAUACGGCCCAGACUCCUACGGGAGGCAGCAGUGGGGAAUAUUGCACAAUGGGCGGAAGCCUGAUGCAGCAACGCCGCGUGCGGGAUGACGGCCUUCGGGUUGUAAAACGCUUUCGCCUGUGACGAAGCGUGAGUGACGGUAAUGGGUAAAGAAGCACCGGCUAACUACGUG
rnacentral:rRNA from 1 species